rnacentral:lncRNA from 1 species
AUUAUAAUGCCUGCGUCCCAAUGUGCAUACUAUCCAUCCUAAAUUCUAUGUGAUAUUAGUAAUUUUCAAUACUAUUUAGGGCAGAUAGGGUGGAUAGUAUGCACAUUGGGACGCAGGGAAUGAAUCAUUCUUUGGAAAUCUCUUCAGUGAAUCGAUCAAACGGCUCGGCAACCGGUUUGAAUCGUUUUCGCGAUUCAGCGUGAUUCAACUCGGACGGUUCACUCAAUCUUUUUGAAGCGGUUUGUCAGUCGGCAAACGUGAUAGGGAACUUCAAGAAGGAUAAAAACGCAUAUUGAACUUCUAUACAGUCUGCUUGAAAGCAAACCUGCAAGUUCUUGUUGUUUUUCCAGCGAUGAAGAUUCAUUAUGACCAACACGCGCACGUGCGUCCCGAGAACCCCUCUACUGCAGUGUGAUGCAGGUUUUACAAAGAGGCUGUUACUGAAGGGUCAGGCAGUUAAAAACUAUACUGGACUGGAUUGAAAACCUCUAAAUGCUUCACUGUGGAUGAUCCAUUGAACAUCGGAUGACCUCGGCG